ACACCUCAACUCCCAUGGUUCGCCAUGGUGAGCUUGGACUUUGGGGGUUUGCUGGCCCACGGUCGGCUCCUCUCAAACGAAUUAGCCUGCCAGUGUUUGGUGGCAUCACAGGUGUGAUAAAUAUCUACGCUUGCGAUCGUCUGCCAGGUAACCUUCAGCAGGUGGGGGUUCACGUGGGGCUCAUAGAUGUCUCUCCCUCGGUGAGGACGGUUUUUUUAACGU
rnacentral:misc_RNA from 1 species